AUGGCAGGUGCACCACCAAAACCGUGGGAACGUGCUGGGGCUGAGGGAACAUCCGGUCCAUCACCUUUCAAACCACCAUCUGGUGGCAGCACUAGCGAUGUCGUCGAAGCUUCUGGUACAGCUAAACCUGGAGAAACCAUUGCUGCUACAGAGAGGAACAUGUCUGCCAAUGUAAAUAACCCCAUCUCGAGGCCUAUGCCCCAACGUCCUUGGCAGCAAACAGGCUAUGGAAAUUCCUAUGGAGGAACAGGAUAUGGAUCCAAUAUGUAUAGUUCGGUUGGUGGAUAUGGCAGUACUUAUGGUAGCGGCGGGCUCUAUGGGAAUAGCAUGUACUCGAGCUAUGGAGGAGGUGGCGGCCUCUAUGGAGGUUCCGGGAUGUAUGGGGGAGGAAUGUAUAACAGUGGGAUGGGAAGCUCUUAUGGUGGUUAUGGUAUGGGUGGCAUGGGUGGCAUGGGUGGCAUGGGUGGCAUGGGUCCUUACGGCAAUCCGGAUCCAAAUUCAUUUGGCCCUCCCGCAGCACCACCGGGUUUCUGGGUGUCCUUCCUACGCGUGAUGCAUGGUGCUGUCAGUUUCUUUGGGCGAGUUGCAUUUCUCGUUGAACAAAACACACAAGCCUUCUAUUUAUUCAUUACUGCUAUGUUGCAGCUCUUUGAUCGGUCUGGAAUGCUUUACGGUGAGCUUGCGAGAUUUGUCUUACGCCUGCUCGGAGUCCGAACAAAGUCAAAGAAAGGCCGCGUUCAGGGUGCUGAGGCCCCUGCAUUCGAGGGACCUGGCCAGCAGCUUUUUGAGGCACCAAAAGCCGGCAACAACUCAUGGGACAAUGUUUGGGGAAACUAA
rnacentral:rRNA from 1 species